rnacentral:tRNA from 1 species
GCCGGCGUAGCUCAACGGCAGAGCACCGCUUUCGUAAAGCGGGGGUUGUGGGUUCAAAUCCCACCGCCGGCU